rnacentral:rRNA from 1 species
AGUGAACGCUGGCGAUAGGCCUAACACAUGCAAGUCGAACGGCAGCACAGUAAGAGCUUGCUCUUACGGGUGGCGAGUGGCGGGCGGGUGAGAAAUACAUCGGAAUCUACUUUUUCGUGGGGGAUAACGUAGGGAAACUUACGCUAAUACCGCAUACGACCUACGGGUGAAAGCAGGGGAUCUUCGGACCUUGCGCGAUUGAAUGAGCCGAUGUCGGAUUAGCUAGUUGGCGGGGUAAAGGCCCACCAAGGCGACGAUCCGUAGCUGGUCUGAGAGGAUGAUCAGCCACACUGGAACUGAGACACGGUCCAGACUCCUACGGGAGGCAGCAGUGGGGAAUAUUGGACAAUGGGCGCAAGCCUGAUCCAGCCAUACCGCGUGGGUGAAGAAGGCCUUCGGGUUGUAAAGCCCUUUUGUUGGGAAAGAAAAGCAGCAGGUUAAUACCCCGCUGUUCUGACGGUACCCAAAGAAUAAGCACCGGCUAACUUCGUG